UUCAAAGAGUGCGUAACAGCUCACUGGUCGAGUGGACAUGCGCCGACAAUACACGGGGCUAAGCUGGACACCGAAGCGGCGGGAUUUUAUUUCAUAGAAUCGGUAGGGGAGCUUCCCAUGGGCGGGGAAGCCGCCGGGCGACCGGCGGUGGAGCGCAUGGGAGUGAGAAUGCUGGCAUGAGUAGCGAGAGACGAGAGAGUAACUCGUCCGCCGUGAACCCGAGGUUUCCUGGGCAAGGCUAAUCCUCCCAGGGUCAGUCGGGGGCUAAGGCGAGGCCGGGAGGCGUAGCCGACGCGCAGCAGGCAGACAUUCCUGCACCGCGCACGCGGCGCUACGACCGACGGGGCGACGGAUGGGGGUGGCUCGGCGGGGUUCUGGACGUCCCCGUGAUGGAGCGCGGCCCGCGGACCAGGGAAAUCCGGUCCGCACGAGGGCGAGGCUCCGGACGAAGCAUCUGAGCGAAGCGAGUGAGCCCGAGGUCCCUAGAAAAACCCCUAGGCAGGCGCGUGCGCGCCCGUACCGCAAACCGACACAGGUGGGUGGGUAGAACAUACCGAGGCGAUCGGGUCAACCAUGGUCAAGGAACUCGGCACAAUGGCCCCGUAACUUCGGGAGAAGGGGUGCCCGCGCGUACGUGAACGGACUUGCUCCGGGAGCGGAGGCGGGCCGCAGUGGAGAGGCCCAAGCGACUGUUUACCAAAAACACAGGACUCUGCAGAAGCCGCAAGGCGACGUAUAGGGUCUGACGCCUGCCCGGUGCCGGAAGGUCACGCGGAGGAGUUAGCGCAUCGCGCGAAGCCCCGAAGCCAAGCCCCGGUAAACGGCGGCCGUAACUAUAACGGUCCUAAGGUAGCGAAAUUCCUUGUCGGGUAAGUUCCGACCUGCACGAAAGGCGCAACGACUUGGGCGCUGUCUCGACCAUGGACCCGGUGAAAUUGCACUGGUCGUGAAGAUGCGACUUACCCGCGGAAGGACGGAAAGACCCCGUGAACCUUCACUGCAGCUUGGCAUUGGCCGCUGGUCCCGCGUGUAGAGGAUAGGCAGGAGGCACAGAUCCGGAGGCGCCAGCCCCCGGGGAGCCGCCCUUGGAAUACUGCCCUCGCGCGACCGGCGUCCUAACCCGAGGCCGUCGACCGGCUCGGGGACCGUGCCAGGCGGGCAGUUUGACUGGGGCGGUCGCCUCCUAAAGGGUAACGGAGGCGCGCGAAGGUCCGCUCGGGACGGUCGGCAACCGUCCUUUUGAAUGCAAGAGUACAAGCGGGCUUGACUGCGAGGCCCACAAGCCGAGCAGGUGCGAAAGCAGGCUCUAGUGAUCCGGCGGCCCCGAGUGGGUGGGCCGUCGCUCAACGGAUAAAAGGUACUCCGGGGAUAACAGGCUGAUCUUGCCCAAGAGUCCACAUCGACGGCAAGGUUUGGCACCUCGAUGUCGGCUCAUCGCAUCCUGGGGCUGGAGCAGGUCCCAAGGGUUGGGCUGUUCGCCCAUUAAAGCGGUACGCGAGCUGGGUUCAGAACGUCGUGAGACAGUUCGGUCCCUAUCCUCCGUGGGCGCAGGAGAAUCGAUGGAGGCUGCCCCCAGUACGAGAGGACCGGGGUGGACGCACCUCCGGUGAACCGGUUGUCGACCAACGGCACGGCCGGGUAGCCGCGUGCGGCGCGGAUAACCGCUGAAGGCAUCUAAGCGGGAAGCCGUUCCAGGGAUUAGUUCUCCUUCCGGUAAGGGCCCAGGUAGACUACCUGGUCGAUAGACGGCAGGUGCAAGGGCGGCGACGUCCUCAGCCGAGCCGCACUAAUCGCCCGAGCUCUUCCGGAA
rnacentral:rRNA from 1 species